CAUCGCAGAAGGAUUACUCGAUGGC
rnacentral:snRNA from 1 species